UACAGAGGUCUCAAGCGUUGUUCGGAUUCAUUGGGCAUAAAGGGUGCGUAGGCGGCGCGGUAAGUCGGGUGUGAAAUCUCGGAGCUUAACUCCGAAACUGCAUUCGAUACUGCCGUACUUGAGGACUGGAGAGGAGACUGGAAUUUACGGUGUAGCGGUGAAAUGCGCAGAUAUCGUAAGGAAGACCAGUGGCGAAGGCGGGUCUCUGGACAGUUCCUGACGCUGAGGCACGAAGGUCAGGGGAGCAAACGGG
rnacentral:rRNA from 1 species